UACGAAGGGGGCUAGCGUUGUUCGGAAUCACUGGGCGUAAAGGGCGCGUAGGCGGCUUGAUAAGUCGGGGGUGAAAGCCUGUGGCUCAACCACAGAAUUGCCUUCGAUACUGUCGAGCUUGAGACCGGAAGAGGUAAGUGGAACUGCGAGUGUAGAGGUGAAAUUCGUAGAUAUUCGCAAGAACACCAGUGGCGAAGGCGGCUUACUGGUCCGGUUCUGACGCUGAGGCGCGAAAAGCGGUGGGGAGCAAACGGG
rnacentral:rRNA from 1 species